AGUGAACGCUGGCGGUAGGCCUAACACAUGCAAGUCGAACGGCAGCACAGUAAGAGCUUGCUCUUACGGGUGGCGAGUGGCGGACGGGUGAGGAAUACAUCGGAAUCUACUUUCUCGUGGGGGAUAACGUAGGGAAACUUACGCUAAUACCGCAUACGACCUACGGGUGAAAGCAGGGGAUCUUCGGACCUUGCGCGAUUGAAUGAGCCGAUGUCGGAUUAGCUAGUUGGCGGGGUAAAGGCCCACCAAGGCGACGAUCCGUAGCUGGUCUGAGAGGAUGAUCAGCCACACUGGAACUGAGACACGGUCCAGACUCCUACGGGAGGCAGCAGUGGGGAAUAUUGGACAAUGGGCGCAAGCCUGAUCCAGCCAUACCGCGUGGGUGAAGAAGGCCUUCGGGUUGUAAAGCCCUUUUGUUGGGAAAGAAAAGCAGCAGGUUAAUACCCCGCUGUUCCGACGGUACCCAAAGAAUAAGCACCGGCUAACUUCGUG
rnacentral:rRNA from 1 species